GAAGCCUUGAUUCUGAGAACCGGUACCUAAGUCUUCUGGAAAGGAGCGCCAAGGAGGGUGAUAGCCCCGUACGGUACUGACCUCAUUGUAGAAUCUUGGCGUGGAGUCGAGUUGUUUGGGAAUGCAGCUCAAAUGGGUGGUAUGCUCCAUCUAAAGCUAAAUAUCUGCGAGAGACCGAUAGCGAACAAGUACUGUGAAGGAAAGAUGAAAAGAACUUUGAAAAGAGAGUGAAAAAGUACGUGAAAUUGUUGAAAUGGAAGGAUAGGCCGCUAACCACGUAGAGCCGUGUCUGAGGGGAGGAUAAAAGCUGUAGAAUGUGGCUCUUCGGAGUGUUAUAGCUGCAGUGCAUACUCCCACUCGGGCGCGAGGACCUAAGGCUCUGCUAAAUGGUGGUCUAUCACCCGUCUUGACCACGGACCCACA
rnacentral:rRNA from 1 species